UUCCCGGUGGCCCAGUGGUUAGGACUCAGCGCUUUUACUGCCGAGGGCCUGGGUUCAAUCCCUGGUUGGGGAA
rnacentral:tRNA from 1 species